rnacentral:tRNA from 1 species
GGUAGUAUUCCCGAGUUUGGUCAAAGGGGAGCGACUUAAGAUCGCUUGCUAUACGCUUCGGGGGUUCAAAUCCCCCUGCUACCA